rnacentral:rRNA from 1 species
GUACACUCCUGCGGGAGGCAGCAGUGGGGAAUAUUGCACAAUGGGCGCAAGCCUGAUGCAGCCAUGCCGCGUGUAUGAAGAAGGCCUUCGGGUUGUAAAGUACUUUCAGCGGGGAGGAAGGCGAUAAGGUUAAUAACCUUGUCGAUUGACGUUACCCGCAGAAGAAGCACCGGCUAACUCCGUGCCAGCAGCCGCGGUAAUACGGAGGGUGCAAGCGUUAAUCGGAAUUACUGGGCGUAAAGCGCACGCAGGCGGUCUGUCAAGUCGGAUGUGAAAUCCCCGGGCUCAACCUGGGAACUGCAUUCGAAACUGGCAGGCUAGAGUCUUGUAGAGGGGGGUAGAAUUCCAGGUGUAGCGGUGAAAUGCGUAGAGAUCUGGAGGAAUACCGGUGGCGAAGGCGGCCCCCUGGACAAAGACUGACGCUCAGGUGCGAAAGCGUGGGGAGCAAACAGGAUUAGAUACCCCGGUAGUCCCAUGAU